CCCAACUCAAACAGGCAGAUAAAGAGAGAUCAAAGAGAUGAGCAUGAGAUACAGUCCCCUCGUGCCCAAGGAGACAGGGUGGUUACAGACAUGGAAAAUCUGAGAAUAAUCACCUCUGAUAAAGAUCACAGAAGCUGCCCGGGAGGUGUUUGGUAAGCUUGGAGUUACGUUUGUGGGGUGGAUGGGCAGAAGUCAGAUUUCAUAGCACUGAGGAUGCAGCACAAGGAGAAGUUCAAGAUCAAUUCCUAAGACAACAACUUGGCACUAAAAAACAUAAACUAUGUUCUGAAGGCUUUACCCUGGGGACAAGGGAAGGGAGGUGAUAACAGCAGAAGUGGCAGCCACUGGCGAUCCUUUCUUUCCAUGGUUUGGCUUCUACUCCAAAGCCACUUAUUUGUGCAUUCUACAAAAAGUUUCUUGUCCUUUUUGAAAUAAAGCUCUUAUCCUAAGCUCCAUUCACACCUGCGUGAUAAUGAACCAGCUAGUACUUACUGUACUCAGGAAGCAUGCAAAGUUCUGAAUCUUAGAACAGAAAGUGAAAGCAAAAGUAAAUUCCCCUUCAGUCAAAUCUGCAGCAGCAUGAUUUAAGAUUAAAUUCAUGUAUUGAAAAUAUUGUUCAGACCCCAUGUGACAUAACUGGAGCCAGUGCAGUGCCAUGAAGAACUACGAGAUUAGCCUGGAUAUUAACUUGUCUUCUAGAGAAUAGAUUUCAUGUUCCAUUCUUCUGCAAUGGUUAAUUCACACAGAAAACCAAUGUUUAACAUUCACAGAGGAUUUUACUGCUUAACAGCCAUCUUGCCCCAAAUAUGCAUUUGUUCUCAGUUCUCAGUGCCAUCUAGUUAUCACUUCACUGAGGAUCCUGGGGCUUUCCCAGUAGCCACUAAUGGGGAACGAUUUCCUUGGCAGGAGCUAAGGCUCCCCAGUGUGGUCAUUCCUCUCCAUUAUGACCUCUUUGUCCACCCCAAUCUCACCUCUCUGGACUUUGUUGCAUCUGAGAAGAUCGAAGUCUUGGUCAGCAAUGCUACCCAGUUUAUCAUCUUGCACAGCAAAGAUCUUGAAAUCACGAAUGCCACCCUUCAGUCAGAGGAAGAUUCAAGAUACAUGAAACCAGGAAAAGAACUGAAAGUUUUGAGUUACCCUGCUCAUGAACAAAUUGCACUGCUGGUUCCAGAGAAACUUACGCCUCACCUGAAAUACUAUGUGGCUAUGGACUUCCAAGCCAAGUUAGGUGAUGGCUUUGAAGGGUUUUAUAAAAGCACAUACAGAACUCUUGGUGGUGAAACAAGAAUUCUUGCAGUAACAGAUUUUGAGCCAACCCAGGCACGCAUGGCUUUCCCUUGCUUUGAUGAACCGUUGUUCAAAGCCAACUUUUCAAUCAAGAUACGAAGAGAGAGCAGGCAUAUUGCACUAUCCAACAUGCCAAAGGUUAAGACAAUUGAACUUGAAGGAGGUCUUUUGGAAGAUCACUUUGAAACUACUGUAAAAAUGAGUACAUACCUUGUAGCCUACAUAGUUUGUGAUUUCCACUCUCUGAGUGGCUUCACUUCAUCAGGGGUCAAGGUGUCCAUCUAUGCAUCCCCAGACAAACGGAAUCAAACACAUUAUGCUUUGCAGGCAUCACUGAAGCUACUUGAUUUUUAUGAAAAGUACUUUGAUAUCUACUAUCCACUCUCCAAACUGGAUUUAAUUGCUAUUCCUGACUUUGCACCUGGAGCCAUGGAAAAUUGGGGCCUCAUUACAUAUAGGGAGACGUCACUGCUUUUUGACCCCAAGACCUCUUCUGCUUCCGAUAAACUGUGGGUCACCAGAGUCAUAGCCCAUGAACUGGCGCACCAGUGGUUUGGCAACCUGGUCACAAUGGAAUGGUGGAAUGAUAUUUGGCUUAAGGAGGGUUUUGCAAAAUACAUGGAACUUAUCGCUGUUAAUGCUACAUAUCCAGAGCUGCAAUUUGAUGACUAUUUUUUGAAUGUGUGUUUUGAAGUAAUUACAAAAGAUUCAUUGAAUUCAUCCCGCCCUAUCUCCAAACCAGCGGAAACCCCGACUCAAAUACAGGAAAUGUUUGAUGAAGUUUCCUAUAACAAGGGAGCUUGUAUUUUGAAUAUGCUCAAGGAUUUUCUGGGUGAGGAGAAAUUCCAGAAAGGAAUAAUUCAGUACUUAAAGAAGUUCAGCUAUAGAAAUGCUAAGAAUGAUGACUUGUGGAGCAGUCUGUCAAAUAGUUGUUUAGAAAGUGAUUUUACAUCUGGUGGAGUUUGUCAUUCGGAUCCCAAGAUGACAAGUAACAUGGUAAGGAUAAAGAGAGUCACAGAGUAGAAGAGAUCUGUGGAAUAGCCUGACCUAGACUCGCCUUUCUGGGGGAAAAUGCAGAGGUCAAAGAGAUGAUGACUACAUGGACUCUCCAGAAAGGAAUCCCCCUGCUGGUGGUUAAACAAGACGGGUGUUCACUCCGACUGCAACAGGAGCGCUUCCUCCAGGGGGUUUUCCAGGAAGACCCUGAAUGGAGGGCCCUGCAGGAGAGGUACCUGUGGCAUAUCCCAUUGACCUACUCCACGAGUUCUUCUAAUGUGAUCCACAGACACAUUCUAAAAUCAAAGACAGAUACUCUGGAUCUACCUGAAAAGACCAGUUGGGUGAAAUUUAAUGUGGACUCAAAUGGUUACUACAUCGUUCACUAUGAGGGUCAUGGAUGGGACCAACUCAUUACACAGCUGAAUCAGAACCACACACUUCUCAGACCUAAGGACAGAGUAGGUCUGAUUCAUGAUGUGUUUCAGCUAGUUGGUGCAGGGAGACUGACCCUAGACAAAGCUCUUGACAUGACUUACUACCUCCAACAUGAAACAAGCAGCCCCGCACUUCUCGAAGGUCUGAGUUACUUGGAAUCGUUUUACCACAUGAUGGACAGAAGGAAUAUUUCAGAUAUCUCUGAAAACCUCAAGCGUUACCUUCUUCAGUAUUUUAAGCCAGUGAUUGACAGGCAAAGCUGGAGUGACAAGGGCUCAGUCUGGGACAGGAUGCUCCGCUCGGCUCUCUUGAAGCUGGCCUGUGACCUGAACCAUGCUCCUUGCAUCCAGAAAGCUGCUGAACUCUUCUCCCAGUGGAUGGAAUCCAGUGGAAAAUUAAAGUAGAUGUAGACUUCUGUCCUACCCUUUGUUCUUUUCUCUUUGAUUAUACCAACAGAUGUUUUAAAGAUUGUGUAUUCUGUGGGUGCUCAGACAACAGCAGGAUGGAAUUACCUUUUAGAGCAAUAUGAACUGUCAAUGUCAAGUGCUGAACAAAACAAAAUUCUGUAUGCUUUGUCAACGAGCAAGCAUCAGGAAAAGUUACUGAAGUUAAUUGAACUAGGAAUGGAAGGAAAGGUUAUCAAGACACAGAACUUGGCAGCUCUCCUUCAUGCGAUUGCCAGACGUCCAAAGGGGCAGCAACUAGCAUGGGAUUUUGUAAGAGAAAAUUGGACCCAUCUUCUGAAAAAAUUUGACUUGGGCUCAUAUGACAUAAGGAUGAUCAUCUCUGGCACAACAGCUCACUUUUCUUCCAAGGAUAAGUUGCAAGAGGUGAAACUAUUUUUUGAAUCUCUUGAGGCUCAAGGAUCACAUCUGGAUAUUUUUCAAACUGUUCUGGAAACGAUAACCAAAAAUAUAAAAUGGCUGGAGAAGAAUCUUCCGACUCUGAGGACUUGGCUAAUGGUUAAUACUUAAAUGGUCAAUAGAAAAAGUAGGCUGGGCGCGGUGGCUCACGCCUGUAAUCCCAGCACUUUGGGAGGCUGAGAAGGGCGGAUCACGAGGUCAGGAGAUGGAGACCAUCCUGGCUAACACGGUGAGACCCCGUCUCCGCUAAAAAUACAAAAAAUUAGCCGGGCAUGGUGGCAGGUGCCUGUAGUCCCAGCUACUCGGCAGGCUGCAGCAGGAAAAUGGCAUAAACCCGGGAGGUGGAGCUUGCAGUGAGCCGAGAUUGCACCACUGCAUUCCAGCCUGGGUGACUGAGCGAGACUCUGUCUCAAAAAAAAAAAAAAAAAAAAAAAGAAAAAGAAAAAGAAAAGAAAAGAAAAGGUACAUCAGACAUGACUGCCUGCAUGAAGUCAAACAGGGUAACACCAGUGAAGCUCAAGUCAAGAGCUGUGGAUAUUUUGUCUAACCAACAAGAAGUCUCAAGAAAUCAGGCAGUGCAGCUGCCUGCUCUCAGCUAUCGUAUCCAGCCAAAAGAUGCAUGAUGAUGGAGUGGUGGGGGAAGGCCAGUUCAGUAUCCUAUUUAAAAGUAAACUUCCUGAAUAAUGGAUAUAUGUGGAGAUACAGACAUAGAUAUAUAGAUACAGCUGUAAUUAUUUAGCCUCAAGUGACUUUCUCCAUUGCUUCACGCUAUGCCACUAUUUUGCUUCUUUAAUUUUUUUAACCUUGCUUAGUAUUCUAUAGUUUGCCCAACCAGUUUUACGUCCAAGGAAAAUUAGCCAAUGCAUAAAAUAUACAAACUAUGAAAGGCAAGGAUCAGGAAACCAGAGACUUUGCCACCAAAUCUCAGAUUAUUAGAAACUAGGUGUCAGGGUUUAUCAAGAAGGCCAGGAAGGCCUUUUGGGUUAAGCCUUACAUUCAUGAAGAACCUCAAGGGUAGAUUUUUGAGAGCAUUCCAAAUGAAUGGUCUCUGGUCAAAUGAAUGAAUGGUCAAAUGAAUAAAUCUGCCCUCACAGAGAUACAAAAGGAAAAGGAAUAUAAUUCAUACCAUUUGGUUUAAGCCUUACAUUCAUGAAGUACCUCAAGGGUAGAUUUUUGAGAUCAUUCCAAAUGAAGUCGAAUCUGCCCUCACAGAGACACAAGAAAGGAAUAUAAUUCAUACACUAUUGCAUUUUUAAUAAAUCUUUUGAAAUUUGCAGAAUUAGAUUGUAUUGUGUAUUUUCGGUUAAAUGAUAAUUGAAUGUAAAUAUUUAGAUGCAGCACCAUAUUUUAUAACCCAGCUUUAGCAUUUCUUCAUAUUUUAAGGAAACCCCCCACCUCCUUCUUUUAAGGGCGCUUCUUGCUCUCUGAAAUGCCCUGCUAAAUGCUUCUCUUAAUUAUUUGAAUAAGGUAGUUUGGAAUAAAGAAAGAAAAGAUCACUCUACAUACAGAUAGUAAACUUAAUUUGUGAUCCUAUAUAUGAGACAGUAUAAAAAUACAGAUAAGUUUUAGAAAGACUCAAAACAAUAUGUAAAUGACUGAUGUUUGCAUUAUUAAGGAAGACUUGGGAUGUUGGGUCAAGAGGGGAAAGUGUUAGUCAAUCCACUUUGGAGCAAUAUCAUGAAGGUCAAUUAUAAUUCCAUAUACCUUUCUUUGAUGCCACAGUCAGAGAUAGAAUACAGUUUGGGUGGCCAUGGAUGUGCCCCAAUACAGUACACAUUUUUUGGUUAAAUUUGUUUUCAGAUCAUUUCAUGGAAUCUUUGAAGUAUCUUUGACUCUAACUUUGACUUGGUGGUGGACCUUCCUUGGUUUUUAUAACACCUAAGAGAUAUCCUUUAGAAUUACAUGUAUUUUAGCAUAAGGAAAUUGAAAAAGUAAAACAUACUGGUUUUUUUCAACAAGACCAUAUGUAAAUUAAAUAGUGAAAUGUGUAUGAGUUUCAGUAGAACUGUACCAUCAACAAUGUUUCCAUAAAUAUGCAGAGUUCUUUCUUUUGUAUUGUUAUUUACAAUAUUGUUAAAUUGAAUGCAUUUGCAAUUUCUAGGAUUCUAAAGAAUUGAGUACAGAAAGUAGCAAUUUUAUUAUUUGAUGAUAAUAUGAGAAUUACUGUGCCAAUACUGUUUUGAUAAAUAAAUAGAUUUUUAAAAAUAAAUGUAUUGUACUUA